GUUUGACCUGACAAUGUGAGGGGCUAAGGGUCAAGUUAUGGGAUAAUCUCAAUUAUAUUUAUUUGUUUCUUCACAUCCUCUCGCCUCCUGCUGAAAACACACAAGGAGAUCGAACACAAGCAGUCAAGGAAAUCAAUUGAGAUUCUCUCUCUGUCCGCAUCGAACGUUGGGCUUAAUCCACCUCUUCAUACUGUCCUGCAUGUCCACAACUGUCCACACGAUGGCGCCCUCUGCCCUGAAUAACAGCACUUCUCUCAGGAUCUGUUGGCCACUUGUUCGGUGUGUCAACUGCCUAAUAUUGAAUACUGACUUUAGACCCAGCAUUCUUCAGUAGCACAUUCAUAUAUGUCUGAAAGAACAACAGCUAAAUAUAUGCAAACUUCCAACGUGUUCUGCAUGUACAACGUGUGGUAAUCAGUUACAUAUGGGCAAUCCAUUGCUAUAGUUCAAAUUGAUGCCCUUUAUAAUUAAACUCUUGUCUGUCUUUGCCUUGCUAAGUUAGGUUUCCCAUAGUUCCUUGUCCAAAGGACUCACAAUGGGACCCCAGCUCUAUGGGUAUUAUCACGAUGCACAGUGGGACUGGACCCUGGUGUGUGUCCCAUCACGAUGCACAGUGGGACUGAACACUGGUCUGUGUCAGACUCUGAGCGUAAGAGGAUACAAGGAAGCUCUGUGAAACCCAACCCUCUCCCUGGGUCUUGUCUGUAGCCUGUAGCCGUACGGUUCCAGACAGCCAAUACGACUGUAACCAGCCAUGAAGUUCACAGUACUAGGUCUAAUAUAUGGUCCGGAGAAUACGUCUCAUGUCCAUUACCUUAGUUUAGUGUGAAUACUAGCAAGAGUACUCUACAGCAGUGGGGUAAAAAGAGACAGAGUCUAGACCAGCGUUCAGACAGGUUUUCAGACAGGUGUAAAUGUGUUACUACUCCCUGUAAUUCAGAGUUUAGACCAGCGUUCAGCCAGGUUUUCAGACAGGUUUUCAGCCAGGUGUAAAUGUGUUACUACUCCCUGUAAUUCAGAGUCUAGACCAGCGUUCAGCCAGGUUUUCAGACAGGUUUUCAGACAGGUGUAAAUGUGUUACUACUCCCUGUAAUUCAGAGUUUAGACCAGCGUUCAGCCAGGUUUUCAGACAGGUGUAAAUGUGUUACUACUCCCUGUAAUUCAGAGUCUAGACCAGCGUUCAGACAGGUUUUCAGACAGGUGUAAAUGUGCUACUACUCCCUGUAAUUCAGACAGGUUUUCAGCCAGGUGUAAAUGUGUUACUACUCCCUGUAAUUCAGAGUUUAGACCAGCGUUCAGCCAGGUUUUCAGCCAGGUUUUCAGACAGGUUUUCAGACAGGUGUAAAUGUGUUACUACUCCCUGUAAUUCAGAGUUUAGACCAGCGUUCAGCCAGGUUUUCAGACAGGUUUUCAGACAGGUGUAAAUGUGUUACUACUCCCUGUAAUUCAGAGUUUAGACCAGCGUUCAGCCAGGUUUUCAGCCAGGUUUUCAGACAGGUUUUCAGACAGGUGUAAAUGUGUUACUACUCCCUGUAAUUCAGAGUUUAGACCAGCGUUCAGCCAGGUUUUCAGCCAGGUUUUCAGCCAGGUUUUCAGCCAGGUGUAAAUGUGUUACUACUCCCUGUAAUUCAGAGUUUAGACCAGCGUUCAGCCAGGUUUUCAGCCAGGUUUUCAGCCAGGUUUUCAGCCAGGUGUAAAUGUGUUACUACUCCCUGUCAUUCAGACAGGUUUUCAGCCAGGUGUAAAUGUGUUACUACUCCCUGUCAUUCAGACAGGUUUUCAGCCAGGUGUAAAUGUGUUACUACUCCCUGUCAUUCAGACAGGUUUUCAGCCAGGUGUAAAUGUGUUACUACUCCCUGUCAUUCAGACAGGUUUUCAGCCAGGUGUAAAUGUGUUACUACUCCCUGUCAUUCAGACAGGUUUUCAGCCAGGUGUAAAUGUGUUACUACUCCCUGUCAUUCAGACAGGUUUUCAGCCAGGUGUAAAUGUGUUACUACUCCCUGUCAUUCAGACAGGUUUUCAGCCAGGUGUAAAUGUGUUACUACUCCCUGUCAUUCAGACAGGUUUUCAGCCAGGUGUAAAUGUGUUACUACUCCCUGUCAUUCAGACAGGUUUUCAGCCAGGUGUAAAUGUGUUACUACUCCCUGUCAUUCAGACAGGUUUUCAGCCAGGUGUAAAUGUGUUACUACUCCCUGUCAUUCAGAGUCUAGACCAGCGUUCA